rnacentral:lncRNA from 1 species
AUUAAGGAGGUAGACCUAGGUUAAGGGAAAUAACUCUUAAAAUCAUCAGUACGUUUUGUGUCAGCCAUUUUCAUAAAUAUGUUCUAAGCUUCUUGGAUACAUAGAUUAUUUUCAAUCUGUUUCAGGUAAAUGCUUAAAAUUCAUUGAGGAAACUUGACUUUUACAAACACAUAACUGAUUUAAAGAGUUAUCUCCCUGUACCAAGGUCUACCCCCUUAAA